rnacentral:rRNA from 1 species
UACGUAGGGUGCAAGCGUUAUCCGGAAUUAUUGGGCGUAAAGGGCUCGUAGGCGGUUUGUCGCGUCGGGAGUGAAAACUCAGGGCUUAACCCUGAGCCUGCUCCGAUACGGGCAGACUAGAGGUAUGCAGGGGAGAACGGAAUUCCUGGUGUAGCGGUGAAAUGCGCAGAUAUCAGGAGGAACACCGGUGGCGAAGGCGGGUCUCUGGGCCGAUACUGACGCUGAGGAGCGAAAGCGUGGGGAGCGAACAGG